AAAGCUCUAGUGUAUGAGUUCAUGCCCCGAGGAGACUUACAUAGAUUACUGAAUUCAGCUCAAGACCAUGAGGGCUCUUUAGACUUCAUACACAUUACAGUGGCUCAAAGGCUAAGCAUUGUUUUGGAUGUAGCAGAUGCGUAUCUACAACAUAACAACCAAGGAACUAUUGUUCAUUGUCAUAUGAAGCCUAGCAAUAUUCUUUUGGAUGAUACUAUGACAACUCAUGUUGGAGAUUUUGGUCUUUGAUUGCAAUAAAUGGAACUAUUGGAUAUGCUGCUCCAGAAUGUGCAACACGUGGUCAUGUUUUGACUGCUAGCGAUGUCUAUAGCUUUGGAAUUGUUGUACUUGAAAUGUUCUUACGGAAGAGGCCUACAGAUGCUUCGUUGUCUAUGAAGAAUGGGUAUGGUAUACACUCUGCUAACCAGUGUGCUCCUAAGUAAUACGUGUUCUUCAGAGAAAGGGACUUUUCGCACAGACAGAUCAAAGGAACAUUAACCAGUGAGGCUGAAGGCACAUGCUCUCAUCUCUGGAGAUGCUUCUCAAAAUUAUCCAAAAAUUGUGGCCUCCUCCUUACGAUCAUCAGGUGUAACAGCCCAAGGUCAGCCUGUGUGUUCGGUGCCGGUGGCUUGGAAGAUACAAAAGUGUAGGAGUAGAAGCAGUGCAAGGAAGACGUGGCCGUGUGGGAGCAGAAGCAGUAUAAGACUGUCGCUUCGGGCAGCUAUUGCACUGUGCUCCGCCACUGUGCUCGCCUGCACCAUUGUCGAGCAAUGGAGAACUAAGGUGCUCGGUUCCCCAUCAAGGCCUUCGCCUUCAGGAGGGCUCCCGGAUAGCAGUCAGGAGCGCGGCGCACCUGCCCGACCAUUGGAGCAGUGCAGUUCAGUUCAUGGCAGAAUUCUCCUAGACCUUUGGCCUCCUCUGCACCGCUACCGUUAAUCUCUCUAGGUAGUGUCGCCUUCUUUCCCACCCUGGCAGCUGCCUCCAAUGGCAGAAUUAUCACAUUUGCUCUCGCUGGGCUGGAAAGGAAGUAUUCUUGCCAACAUUACUUUGGCGGGUCUGUAGCCAGAGUGCCAUUGGACUCCUGUAAAGCUAGCAAGGUACUUCUUAUUUAACAACAGGGUUGGCUUCCUUCUCCACUGUAAAUUUUCGUACGGUAUUCCAUUGAAACUGAGACUACAUUACAGAGGAACAUGAUGGGAUCUUAAUGAUCCAGCAAGUGGCACUCAUCUUGUUGAAAAACCAAAAGUUUGGGUGAAUCGCAAAGUGGUGGAUAGAAGUUGAUACCUUGACCAGAGGCUUUCAAAAUAUGGCAUAGCUAUCCUGGAGUAUCGCUUGGGCAACACGCUCUGCUUGUGCGGCUCGUCUAGGCAGAGCUUCCUCCCUGAUGAUUGCCUGGUCACCCAUGCUGCUUCGGUGAUGACUUUGUUUAAUCUGGGAUGACUUCUUGUUGCAUUUUCUUUUGAGGAAUCAGCCAAACCUCUGUUAUGUUUAAGGUAAUAUGACUGGCAAUGUUGUUAAUAGUACGAUGAUGACAUCCCGUGACUGUAUCGGUGUGCUGCUAGCAAAAACAAAUAAAUGAUCUCCUUGGCUUGAAAGUGUUAGGGCGUCAGCUCAUGCAAACGGAUCAAAAGAAUCUAUUUGUGCCCGCGUGGAUAAAAAAUAGGUCUGAUCCUAGGCCA